ACAUUUGAGUGAGUGGCGAACUGGUGAGUAACACGUGGGAAACCUGCCCAGAAGCGGGGGAUAACACCUGGAAACAGAUGCUAAUACCGCAUAACAACUUGGACCGCAUGGUCCGAGYUUGAAAGAUGGCUUCGGCUAUCACUUUUGGAUGGUCCCGCGGCGUAUUAGCUAGAUGGUGRGGUAACGGCUCACCAUGGCAAUGAUACGUAGCCGACCUGAGAGGGUAAUCGGCCACAUUGGGACUGAGACACGGCCCAAACUCCUACGGGAGGCAGCAGUAGGGAAUCUUCCACAAUGGACGAAAGUCUGAUGGAGCAACGCCGCGUGAGUGAAGAAGGGUUUCGGCUCGUAAAACUCUGUUGUUAAAGAAGAACAUAUCUGAGAGUAACUGUUCAGGUAUUGACGGUAUUUAACCAGAAAGCCACGGCUAACUACGUGCCANCAGCCGCGGUAAUACGUAGGUGGCAAGCGUUGUCCGGAUUUAUUGGGCGUAAAGCGAGCGCAGGCGGUUUUUUAAGUCUGAUGUGAAA
rnacentral:rRNA from 1 species